GCGUGCCUUAGGCAUGCAAGUCGAACGGUCCGCAAGGACAGUGGCAGACGGGUGAGUAAUACGUAGGAAUUUACCUCUUGGUGAAGGAUAGCUCAUCGAAAGGUGGGGUAAUCCUCCAUAAGUUCUCCGGAAGAAAGGCCGUAACUGGCCGCCGAGAGAGAAGCCUGCGUCCUAUCAGCUUGUUGGUGAGGUAAUGGCUCACCAAGGCGAUGACGGGUAGGGGGCGUGAGAGCGUGACCCCCCACAAGGUAACUGAUACACGGUGCCUACGUCUACGGACGGCAGCAACUAGGAAUAUUCGGCAAUGGGCGAAAGCCUGACCGAGCGACGCCGCGUGCGGGAUGAAGGCCUUCGGGUCGUAAACCGCUGUGGAGAGGGAAAAUAAUGAUGGUACCUCUCUAGAAAGCACCUGCUAACUACGUGCCAGAAGCCUCGGUGAUACGUAGGGUGCAAGCAUUAUCCGGAUUUACUGGGCGUAAAGAGUGUCGUAGGCGGUUCUGUAAGUGAUUGUG
rnacentral:rRNA from 1 species